rnacentral:rRNA from 1 species
UUGGGUUCGAUUCCGGAGAGGGAGCCUGAGAAAUGGCUACCACAUCCAAGGAAGGCAGCAGGCGCGUAAAUUGCCCGAAUCCUGACACAGGGAGGUAGUGACAAGAAAUAACAAUACAGGGCUACUUCUAGUCUUGUAAUUGGAAUGAGUACAACUUACAUCUCUUCACGAGGAUCAAUUGGAGGGCAAGUCUGGUGCCAGCAGCCGCGGUAAUUCCAGCUCCAAUAGCGUAUAUUAAAGUUGUUGCAGUUAAAAAGCUCGUAGUCGGAUUUCGGGGCGGGGCGAGCGGUCUGCCGAUGGGUAUGCACUGUUCGGCGCGUCCUUCUUUCCGGAGACCGGUCCUACUCUUAGCUGAGCGGGGUCGGGAGACGGAAUAUUUACUUUGAAAAAAUCAGAGUGUUUAACGCGGGCAUCUCGCUUUUGAAUGGAUUAGCAUGGGAUAAUGAAAUAGGACUCGGGUGCUAUUUUGUUGGUUUCGAAAACCGGAGUAAUGAUUAAAAGGGACAGUCAGGGGCACUAGUAUUCUGUUGAGAGAGGUGAAAUUCUCAGACCAAUGGAAGACGAACCACUGCGAAAGCAUUUGCCAGGGAUGUUUUCACUGAUCAAGAACGAAAGUUAGGGGAUCGAAGACGAUCAGAUACCGUCGUAGUCUUAACCAUAAACCAUGCCGACUAGGGAUUGGAGGGUGUUCUAUUUGACCUCUUCAGCACCUUACGGGAAACUAAAGUCUUUGGGUUCCGGGGGGAGUAUGGUCGCAAGGCUGAAACUUAAAGGAAUUGACGGAAGGGCACCACCAGGAGUGGAGCCUGCGGCUUAAUUGACUCAACACGCAAGGGCGAAUACGCGUCCGCAG